rnacentral:piRNA from 1 species
GGAAACUGCAAGAAAUUGUUACUGUGUGG